CCCUUCCUUGGCCUUGCCUAGGCAUAGCCUAGUUAGGCCCCCCCCCCCCCGUGGGCCCAGUAGGCCUAGUUAGCUAGAAACAAAACCGAUAGGGUGCGCUGUUUUUCGGAGUUCCAAACAUCGCGAUAGAAAAUAGUGCCCCGACGGAUGAUAGGAUACCCAAUGUAUUAAUUGGGUAUUUCGCGGAUAUAUAUCACAAUUUGGCCGAAAUAGUUCCGGAUAACUCUCCAGAAAUAAAUUCAAGUGCGCGAAUCGACUCGGUAAAAGUUUUUUUUUUUACAACAAUGUUUAGACGCUUUUCAAGAAUAGAAGAAAUCCUUCGCUAGUUUUUUUGUUAACGGUUUUUUUUUUUCUUCAGUUUUUAAACUAUAAAGUUCAAUCGUGACGUUUGUUAGACUGUAUAUUGUUACGUUGUUAGACGGCGUAUCAUAUGUACCGUACUGUUGGUUGGAAAUGGUAUCUUUUGUACCGUUAUGUUGGAAGAAAUAAAGUUAAACAGCAACGCAUUGAAAACAUCGGUGUUUUAUUGGGGUCGAAAUAGACGAAACAUCAUUGAAAAGAUUUCGGAAGAAGAUACUGAGAUCUGACCGAAAUCACUGGAGAAUCUGGAAAAAAAGAAAAAUGAAAAUGAUGAGCAACGCUUUCCAAAACAAACGGUUCUUUUCAGAACCUCUAAAUAUCCCAAAAGAGAUUUGAUCAAUGAUUGCUGCCUUGUGUAAUUAAAAAAAAAAAAAAAAAA